CUGUCUGUCUGCCUAGAAAACUCAUACUCUGUUGUGUAAUUCACCCUCAUUUUGAAGGACUGCAUCUUUGCCUUUAUGCUCACCAACAAAGGAACACUUUUAAUGAGUCGUGGCCAAUUACUCUUGUGGGACAUGAGGACCUUCACAGGACAUGGUAAACACUAGAUGAGACAUUCCUGAAGGUCAGAAGUUACUGGGAUAUUCAUAGAGUGAAAGAAGAGAAAAGAAAAUAUCUGGAGGAAGGUUUCUUUCUGGAACUCCCCCUUCCCCCUAAAAUCUGAAAGCAGGAUGGAAUACAAUGAAAUAUAGAGUAUCCUGUUUGCAA
rnacentral:lncRNA from 1 species